rnacentral:rRNA from 1 species
GCCCUUGGGACCGGCAUAACCCCGGGAAACUGGGGAUAAUUCCGGAUAACGCAUAUUUGCUGGAAUGCUUUAUGCGUCAAAAGGAUUCGUCUGCCCAAGGAUGGGUCUGCGGCCUAUCAGGUAGUAGCGGGUGUAAUGUACCUACUAGCCAGCGACGGGUACGGGUUGUGAGAGCAAGAGCCCGGAGAUGGAUUCUGAGACAUGAAUCCAGGCCCUACGGGGCGCAGCAGGCGCGAAAACUUUACAAUGCGGGAAACCGUGAUAAGGGGACACCGAGUGCCAGCAUCAUAUGCUGGCUGUCCGGAUGUGUAAAAUACAUCCGUUAGCAAGGGCCGGGCAAGACCGGUGCCAGCCGCCGCGGUAACACCGGCGGCCCGAGUGGUGAUCGUGAUUAUUGGGUCUAAAGGGUCCGUAGCCGGUUUGGUCAGUCCUCCGGGAAAUCUGAUAGCUUAACUAUUAGGCUUUCGGGGGAUACUGCCAGACUUGGAACCGGGAGAGGUAAGAGGUACUACAGGGGUAGGAGUGAAAUCUUGUAAUCCCUGUGGGACCACCUGUGGCGAAGGCGUCUUACCAGAACGGGCUCGACGGUGAGGGACGAAAGCUGGGGGCACGAACCGGAUUAGAUACCCGGGUAGUCCCAGCCGUAAACGAUGCUCGCUAGGUGUCAGGCAUGGCGCGACCGUGUCUGGUGCCGCAGGGAAGCCGUGAAGCGAGCCACCUGGGAAGUACGGCCGCAAGGCUGAAACUUAAAGGAAUUGGCGGGGGGGCACAACAACGGGUGGAGCCUGCGGUUUAAUUGGACUCAACGCCGGACAACUCACCGGGGGCGACAGCAAUAUGUAGGCCAAGCUGAAGACUUUGCCUGAAUCGCUGAGAGGAGGUGCAUGGCCGUCGCCAGUUCGUACUGUGAAGCAUCCUGUUAAGUCAGGCAACGAGCGAGACCCGUGCCCACUGUUACCAGCAUGUCCUCCGGGACGAUGGGUACUCUGUGGGGACCGCCGAUGUUAAAUCGGAGGAAGGUGCGGGCCACGGUAGGUCAGUAUGCCCCGAAUCUCCCGGGCUACACGCGGGCUACAAUGGAUGGGACAAUGGGUCCCUCCCCUGAAAAGGGCUGGUAAUCUCACAAACCCAUUCGUAGUUCGGAUCGAGGGCUGUAACUCGCCCUCGUGAAGCUGGAAUCCGUAGUAAUCGCGUUUCAAUAUAGUUAGGAAA